CGUUUGAGAGUUGUAAGAGUAUCGUUAUGUUGCAUAACUAUAAGUUUACUGAAAAUCAAUGCUCGUGAAUUUAUGUCUCUGAUGUAUGGCCUGUCUCCCCAGGGUCUGACAUGGCGCAGAAAAUGACAACCAGUCUCUUGAAAAUGUUUGUUGUUUGUUCCGUUCUUCUAAUAAUAGUUAUUGGCGGGAUUCACGCCGACUUCUGUCAACGCUGGCCGGGCGGCUUAUGUGGAGAACCACAAUACUUGCCUUGCUGCUGGCCACACCUUCGCUGUUCUUUUGGUCACCCUAGAGUAUGUGUGAAAAAUUCUAUUGGAUGAAACCGGAAAACGAUGUGGGCCAGCCGAGAACUUUUCUUGAUCCGAAUCCUGCCUAAACUGCAUGCAAAGGAGAACGUGUGGAGCUGGCACUUUUCAAAGGCACUUUAUUACUAAGCUAAACAUUCUCUAAAACUGCGAGAAGAGGAUCGUAGAUCAACUCUGUAUUUUCCAAACAGCUUGUCUUCGCUUUUAUAUAUAAUAACUGCUUUAUAUAGUUGUAGUAAACAAUAUACAGAAUCUUUGACUUAAACAAUAUCAACAGUUCAAAAAGCUUUGAAUUGUCAUUAAAUAAUUGGAUGCUGAUAAUAAAUCAAUCAAAUAAUUAGAGUGAAUAUGUGCUGAUACUUACUUCACUAUUAAGUGACUCAAACGUAAACUACAUUUUUAAUGGAGUCUGAAACAUCCAGAUCUAUAAGUCGUAAUAAGACAUUAUUAAUUAUUUUAAUAGUCACACUACACUUAUUUAUGAAAUGCCGCAAGUGAGAAGUGAAAAAUAUUUUUAACCUAAGCAGUAUCUUAGUCAACACGAGCUAAAUGACCACGUCACAGACUUUUAAAGCUAUUUCU